GUGGCCUAGUGGUUAGAGCGUCUGUCUCGGAUGCGGGAGGUCGUGGAUUCGAUUUCCGGUCAAGUCA